CACAUAAAUUGAGGCAAAAAAACAUUAUUUUUUUGGCUCCCCCACCAAUUGUUCGAAGUUCACGUUAGAACUCUAAUUAAAUUAUAACCACACAAUACAUGAUCCAUUCAAAAAUAAUAAUACUCCUAAUAUAAUUUUCACCUACUCAGAACUCAAACCCGAGACCUCUAAUUACGUUCUAUAUAAGUUACUUAAAUCGCUUUUAUACGUAAAAGACUUGGGCCAAAUUAAUUCCAAAAAAUUAAAGAGUAUUUUUGUUAUUUUGCCACUUAUAUAUAUCAUCUAUAAAUAUAUAAUUUUAACCCACCAUCAACUUAGGAUCUAAAUUUUUUCAAAUUCAAUAAAAUUUCAUUGUUGGCUAAUGAAGAAGUUGUUCAAAAUUCUCUUAUUGCUUUCUAUAAUUUGUCUUCUCCUAACCUCAGCCGUCUCUAAAGGCGGCGGCGGAAGGGGAGGCGGCGGCGGAAGAUCUAGUCGAGGCUCAAAAAACAGAGGCCGUCGCGGCGGCGCUGGGUGGCGGCCGAUACCUUACGGUGGUCAUCCGGCGAGUAGCAGUGCAUCUAAUUCAUUAGGAAAUUUGGAAAUAUAUAUCUAAAGAUAUUCACAACAAUCUUUUUGAUUAAGCGGCGAUUAAAGGCGGCAUAGGAGGAGGAGGACGCGGAGGAGGAGGAAGUUCCCGGGGAUUCACAAGGCGGAGAACCGGUGGCGAUCUUAAUAAGAAGCACCAAUAUUAUUCAAGUUCUUCAUCUUACUCUAACCUUGCUUCAAAUAGUCUAUUUAUUCACUUCCUUGUUGCUCUUUUUUUGUUGUAAGUACAUAAGUUGCUGGCGAAUUUAUGAUCUCGAGUCAGUAAAUUCAGAAUAUAUGUGAUUUAUUAUUGUAUGCAAGGAUGUAUCUAAGACGAGUUGUGAGUACAAAGUUGGAGACAAAUAUAUGAUCUCGAGUCAAUUAAUUCACCA